rnacentral:lncRNA from 1 species
ACCACACCCAGCUAAUUUUUGUGUUUUUAGUAAAGAUGGGGUUUCACCAUAUUGGCCAGGCUGGUCUCAAACUCCUGACCUCGUGAUUCGCCCACCUUAGCCUCCCAAAGUGCUGGGAUUACAGGCGUGAGCCACCACGCCUGGCCUACUUUACCAGUUUUAUUCCUGAAUUAAACCUGUUAUUACUAUCAAUAAUGUCAAUCAGUGCCAUUUCAUUCACCAUAUGCCACACACAUACAAAGCACUUCAUACUCGUCCCACCUGUCUGCCCUCCUGCAAUGGCCACAGUGUUCCCCAUCUUACAUGAGGGGCACAGAGAAAGACAAUGACUUCUCCAAGGUUCUGUAAUUCACAAUCAGUGGCAGAGCCAGCAUGCCCAGCCAGGUCUGGCCAAGGCCUGUGUUUCAGCCACAGCACCUGGUUGCUGCCCCUAAGGCUCAAUGGGCAAGUAACAGAUCACUCCGAUCGCAGAGGCUUCGGAAAUGCCUUCCACCGUGGUACCAAGGAUGGUUUGCUCUCAGGAGAGGAGGCAGGGGUGGGAAUCAGCACACAGUUCUGCUACAUUUCUCAUGCAGGGCACAGACUAAGUAUUUUGUGCCUUGCUUUGCAGGUGAAAUGUCUCCUGCCCCCUACCGCUAAAAGCUCCGUUAUAAUAGCUCCAGGCCACAACGGUCAACUUGGUAUCAGGACCUAGAGA